CAAUCUCAUUCAUUAGUGCUCUGCCUCCAGGACCUGAUCACCUCCCUGAGAAUCAACCUCCUAAUAAUACCUCCUUGGGAGGGAGAAUUUCAACAUAUGAAUUUGGAGGGGAUGUAAACAUUCAACCAUAGUGCAGGUCCUGGCAUCCCAAAUACAUGUCCUCCUUUCAUAAAACAACAUCGAUUCCAUUCCAAUAGCCUCACCCCAAAGUUUUAGCUUGUUUCAGCAUCAAUUUUAAAAACUAAACGCAAAGUAUUAGGUAAUUCUUAUGUAAAUCAGAUCUGGGUGUGAGAAGUUACAAUUAAUUCUGAGGUAAACUGCUUUCCAGUUGUGAACUUGUGAAAUCAUAUAUGUUACGCACAUCCAAAAUAUAAUGGUGGGCAGGCAUGGGAUAGACAUUCCCAUUCUGGAAAAAAAGGAAAAGUGUAAUCAUUCUCAAGCAAGUACAAAAUCUUAAAUCCCAAGAAUUAUUUCCUCUGAUUUGAUACCUUGCCCCUCAAGCCCACUGACAUGGAGGGUUGUUUGAUUGUUUUUGGUUUUUUUGCAGUACCGGGGAUGGAACCCAGGGCCUCACGCAGGCCAGACAAGUGCUCACUACUGAGCCACCUUCCCCCCAGGGUCCUGUCUUUUGGACCCUUAAUAUCAGCAGCCCUGCCUCUGAAGGUUUGCCGGCUGCCCAGCUUUGGAAAGCCUCGCCCCUAAUAGAUUUUUGUCAGUACUUUCCGCUGGGGCAGCACACACCAUGCUGUAGCCUAAUGGAGCUGCACAUGGGGCAGCCCAGGAGCACAGCUGUGGCUUAUGAGGAGCACAGCCUUCAAUAUGAGGCAUCUCUGGGCAUUAAUGUCUCCAGUUUUGUAGCAUCUAGGUUUGGAAGGCACAGGAAGCCCUGAUUUCUGAAAUGUCUUUGGGGAUACUCUUCCCUUUUCUCGUGCAGUAAGUCCUGGGCUCUGUUUAGAUGGCCAACUAAUCAGCCUGUCUUAAUGAAGAGCACCUGGCCUCCACAGAGAUGGGCAACUCAGAGUAACCUCUUUAUCAAAUGAUUGCUCAGCUUUACCCUUGUUCUCCCCUGAACAGACCAUCUUAUUUAUUUCAGUACAGGUAGACUGAGAAUUUUCUGAAUUUAACAUUCAUUCCCUUUUUAUUAACUCCAUCUUGAAAGUCAUUUCUCUCUUCUCAUAUUUUACUGCAGGAAGUGAAGUCAAACCAUAGCUCCGACACUUUGCUUAAAAUUUUCCUUAG
rnacentral:lncRNA from 1 species